UCAAUUCAAAAAGCACAGUAGCAUUCGAGAAAUUAUUACAGUAGGCUGUUGUAAUCGAAUCUAAAAUAAACUCGCCCACAUCGCCCACAUUUCCUUCAAUAAAUUAAUUAUUGUUCGUGAUGUAUUUAAUUGCUCAGUAUUUAGUAUUCGAAAUUUUGUAUAGAAUAUUUGUGCUAGCGCUAAGUUAAUAGUUUCACUUAUGUAGAUCGUUUAUAAUUAAAUAGGUUGUAAAAUGGUAAUAGUUUACCUAUUCGUAAUAGUUAUAGUUAGUACGUGUUUGUCAAACGUUUAUGGAAUUGACUACGAAGAUGAAGAAAAGAUGUACCAGCUGGUGUCCCCCGACCAACACACUCGGACCCCGCGCCUGGAGGACUUCUUCUGGACGGGGUCUGGGGACGGGCCCCCGCCGCCCGACCUCUCCGCCCCGCUGCCGUCCCCCACCGCGCCCGUGGUCCGCACCACCACGGUACUGGCGACCGUUUACUUGGACUCGUAUCCGCCACAGGCGGUGACAGACAAGACGAGCGGAGAAUGCGUGCUCAACUGCGAAGCGACCCCAGACAGCCUGGAGCCUGAGAUACCAGAGGACCGGCGGUACUGGCUCCUGACCGUCAUCCAGGGCUCCACGCCUGAUAGCCUACAGCUGAGGCUCGCCAGAUUAUAUCAGAAAGCUUUUCUAAGACAACAGGAACGGCAUCUAGGUAUAAUCAAAUCACUAGAUGCCCCGACACCAAGAAAGAAACACGAUGUCCAUUCGUUUGUUAUUAAUAAAGACAAUGAGUUUAAAGAAAUAAAUACCAACACUGCCAAAACUCCUCAAAAAUUUUACGAUAACCAAACUUUUAUAAGUUUAGAUGACUUAAGUGUAAAUAAUGAUAAACAUAGAUCUCAAAAUGCAAGUAUGAACAAUAGUUAUUUAGCAAAUAUAGAAAUGUUUUCAAUAGAUCAAGAUGAAUCACCAGUAGAUCCAAUAAAGAUAAAGUCAAAUAAAGUAGAAACAUGGAUACUCGUUACUCCAACUGUUGUUGUACAUAAGAGAGAAGUGGAAGAAGUUAUAGAGAGUAAUAAAGAAGAUCUCAUCGAUCUACCGCUAGAAGAAGAAGUAAGCAAUGAGACGUUAUUGUUUAAGAGAGAAAUCAUCAAACCUGAUCAACAACCGCCAGUUCAAGUUCAUAUACAGAACAUAACAGAGUCGACAGAAGGCAGCGUACAGAUAGUGUACGUAGUGCUGGUGGGCGGCAGGGCUGUGCCGGCGGCAGUGGCGGCGCGAGACAUGCGGCUAGUGAGAGAUGCUGAAGUUGCUAAAGAACUAGGCGCCGUUGUCACAACCAAAGCUGAACCAGCGUACCUGAAAGCAGCGGAAGGGUUGGAAGGCGAGGCGGGCACCAUCGGCGUGCACGGCACCGAGCUGUGGGCGCUGGCGGUGGGCUCCACUGUUGCUAUACUGUUGCUGUUGGUGCUACUCGCUCUGCUGUGUUUCGCUCACAAGAAGAAGAAUGCAAAAUCAGCUGCAUCGUUACGCGCGUACAGAAAUGAACUGAUGAGGGAAGCGGAGCGACAGCAAAUGAAACAAAUCAGCGACGAAAAGGAUUCUAAGCUAAUAAGCGUGGUGUCGCCGAGUAGAACGAGACCUAGCAGUGUGCUUUUACCUAUAUACAGAACUGGGAGUGCCUCAGGUUCAUCGACAACCUCGUCUGGUAUAUCGGAGGUAGCGGCCGCUCUUCGGAGGCGGCAGAAGAAACCACACGCGCUCAGAAUGCCGCAGAAGAAACGAGUGGGUACCACAGACAGUCUUCUAGAAGCGGCGGGCUUGGACAGUUCUGACAGCGGACAGCCGUCACCUCUAGGUCCGCCCACUCCAACCUCCUACCUUUCUAUGCCUUCAGUGAAUGCUUUUCCAAGGGGCAACAUAGUAGAACCUCUAUCUAAGAUCCUCGAGCCAGUCUCAGUGAGACAUCUAGACAUAGACUCGUCACCCACCAGUCUAGACCAGUCCAAAGUGGUGAAACCCAUGAGCGGCAAAGACGUGGUGCCGCGGAGACAGAUGCCGUCCCAACUUGUGCGGCUGGGCAGCAUUGACAAGGACCCUGGGGUCAUAGGGCCUUUGGUGUGGGACCUGCAUUGCCAGAGGAUAAAAGAUGUAUCGAAGCCAUCCAGCCCAGCGAAGUCGGCCUCAUCAUCAGCUCGCAAGGAGCCGGGCGCCUCCCGCAUGAGGCAACGCUUCAACGAGCUGAUGGAUGACGCCUUCACGCUGUUCGGCAGCGCGGCGUCCAGCGACUCGCACCACACCUUCACCGUGGUCAAGCAGGAGAGUAAAGAGAGUAGGGAGAGUGCGGAGAGUGUGGAGAGAAAGAGUGAAGGAGCAGUGCAACAACAGACAGCGGCUCGAGUCGGCCGCGCACCGCGCUGAUGCGCGGGGCAACGGGGGAAAGACGCGCUCCCCCGACCCCCGCCUGGCCUUCCGCACCAGCGCAUCGGCACCCAACGCCUAUAGUGAGUCCAGCCAUCAUCACUGCAGAGGGUCGCCUGGCUCCCGACGACCCGGCGUUACCGCUGAUAU
rnacentral:misc_RNA from 1 species